GCGCACGAGGACCCGUGAGCCCUUGCGAGCGGCUCGACCGGGGCUCCCAGGACCCCGGCCCCUGCGCCUGGCGGCGGGGUCGCGUCCGCUGCUCUGGGGCCGCUGCUCUGAGGGGGACACCUUGAAGGUUUCUUCUUCCCGGCUCCUAAUGAAACGGUAAAACCGUCCGGCUGGAAACAUUCCUAGAGAUGAUCUCGCCGACCACCUCGUUUUUAUUAACGGGACGAUGGAGAAGACGGGAGGCGACGGAGGUAGGACUCCGGAGUCGAACGAGCCGGGGUUUGACCCGUGCGAGCAAGGGCGCGCGACCGGGUUUCCUCGAGCCAUGGUUUUCUUGGUCUGCCUCCUAGAGUUGGUCGUACGCCCCCCCUCAGCGAUUUGUUUUAGAAGGCAUGAGGAAAAAGUAAAUAAAUAAAAGGCAUGAGGACACUACGCCGAGAGGCGAGCACGGAGAAAGCGUUCGUGCCAAUAGACAUCUUCUGAAUUAAAAAAAUAAACACUUGCACAAAGCUCACAGACUACGUAGAGAAAUGAAGAAGAUCUUUCCUCUUUCCAGUAUUGGUGCCUGGCCAGAAAUUUACUGUAUAUUAAAGUUAUUUUUUAGUUACUGUUGUCGAAAGAAGUUGCUUCUAAUUUAAUCCUUAGAAUUGAAACACCAGGUGGUUUUAGCAGAGUCUGAGUUGGCACUGACGAUUCUGGUUAUGAAAAUCAAAACCAUUAAAAGUCUUAGCACUGGACCUCCAUAGCUGUGGAGCAGGCACUUGGGGGCACCAGCCACUGCUGAGUGCUUUGGGCAGCUAUCAGAAGCCCAUCUGCCCUUUAAGCCUCAACAGAACAGAGGGACUUCUACACAGAGGUGGAGCUGGAGCAGGCAGGAAGAAAAUGGUGGUGAAGACAACUAUUCUGCAGGUGCACUUGGAGGCUUCACAAAACCAUUUGGGGAGAGAUAAGGAAGUUUGACUUUUCUGCAGAAUGAAUGGAUGCAGAGCCAAAGAAUUACUGUUUUGCAACUGUUGCUGCAGCUCUUUAUUUACUGUAAAGGAUGAUGUUGCCUAACAAACAGGUCUACAAGGGAAGAGCAUUUAUUGCUAAGGUAUCUCUGAAGCUCUUUAAAAUCUAUUAAAGAUAAAAUGUAAAAUAUAAAAAUAUAUAAAAUAUGUACACAUACUCCAAAUACAAUUUAAUAACCUGAGUCAAAAAGUGUAUUUUUUAAUAUAAAGGUUAAAAUUAAGUUAGUACACAGAUGUCAGAAGUCCUUUCAUUAUAACUAAUCUGUUAGAAAUAUAAACCUCGAUCAACUGAC